rnacentral:misc_RNA from 1 species
CUCGGUAUUGCCCUCAUGCAUCACAACGCUAUUCACGCCCUGUGACAGUUAGGGUUUCACCGAUAUGAGCCGGUGUUUUCCACAGGGGAUUGCUCCCCUGGGGGCCAAUCGUUAAUUAGCCAUGCAGCACCUGUGCUGGCCCCUUACGGACACGGGCUUUCACCCGCUUUAACCAGCAUGUCAAGCCCAGGUAAGGUUCUUCGCGUUGCAUCGAAUUAAGCCACAUGCUCCGCCGCUUGUGCGGGCCCCCGUCAAUUCCUUUGAGUUUUAGCCUUGCGGCCGUACUCCCCAGGCGGGGUGCUUAAUGCGUUAGCUUCGGCACGGAGAGGGUUGAAGGCCUCCCCACACCUAGCACCCAACGUUUACGGCUGGGACUAC